CAGUCGCCACGGUAAUACAGAGGGUGCAAGCGUUAAUCGGAUUUACUGGGCGUAAAGGGCGCGUAGGUGGUUAUUUAAGUGAGAUGUGAAAGCCCCGGGCUUAACCUGGGAACUGCAUCUUAUACUGGGUAACUGGAGUGCAGUAGAGGGUAGUGGAAUUUCCGGUGUAGCGGUGAAAUGCGUAGAUAUCGGAAGGAACACCAGUGGCGAAGGCGGCUACCUGGACUGAGACUGACACUGAGGCGCGAGAGCGUGGGGAGCAAACAGGAUUAGAUACCCCCGUAGUCCCUGUCUCUUAUAC
rnacentral:rRNA from 1 species